rnacentral:lncRNA from 1 species
CUAACUGGAAUAUAUAUGUAAAACAUAUUUCACCUAAAAAACAAAAAGGAAAAACACAUAAAUUCCUCAACAUAACACAUUAGAACAGACAAAGCAGGUGGCAGCGAAAACAUAUAGGAAUAACCAUUGUAACUAUCAAUUGGCCUAAUACUCCCACUCUCCAAAUCAAACACUCCGAUACUGUGACACUUUCCAAACCCAAUCAUAAUCCCUGCGACAAAAAAACUCAUUUGUAAAAAAUACAGAAUUACCUUUACACCCAUUAUACCCAAAAAUCACCAAAGCAGAAGUUUAAAAUGCGCAAUUAUCACCCAGGAACAACAACGUAUCACCCAAAUUAGUCACUUUGACCAAUUUUUCAUCAAUUUCAUCCAACCUAAAAACUUUGAUCUUAUCGUCCUCUCACUCGUAUAACAAUCAAAUUCCUAGUAGAACUCAAAAUCCUCAAUGUACCCCAAAUCAUCCUCCAGUGCAACAGUUAAAUAAUUAUCGACUAACAAUAUAUUAUUUUAAUCAUCUCAUUUUUCUCUUUGUCCACAUUUUCAGCUUCUUUUUAGAAUUUCAAAACAACACUCAGAAAGUAAGAAAUACUUAAAUAUGGAUUUAAGACACACAUCAUAUAUGGCAAAACCAUCACACAAACUUCAAUUGUUCUCCGAAAUUUUAGAUUAUAGACACAUGAACCAAGCAGCAAAAAUUCAAGAAACCAACAUACACAGUUCAUUGUUUACCUAUGAACUUUAGUUUUAGCAAGCUUUGCACUGCUCUACAUUCAUGAUAGUUGCAGAAAGAACAUCACUGUAAAAGGAAGUAAUCCUUUUAGCCUCUGCUAGUACAGAUGCGGUAUGGAAGUGAACACCAUCCUUAAUUGUACGCAUGGGGAAGC